CAGAGUGCCUGUUGGAAGUGCUGCUGCAGUGGAUUGUGGUGGAAGGGUCAAAAAAUGCUCGUCAGCUGCUGCUGGAAGGGAAUGGGCAACAACAGAAAGAUAAGCAGGCGGGGGAAUCUAGACAUUUCUGUGAAAUCUAUGGAAGAGUCAGGAAUGGAAGCCAAGCAAUGGAAGAUGAUGUGACCCGUAACACACUGAGACCCUGUGAUAGACAAUAUACGAACCCACACUGCUCCCUCUUGCCUAUAAACCAGUGCCUGCUAAGUGAAUCCCCUCUUGCCUGCCUUCCCUGAGUGCCUGUAGAGCUGUGUUCAAACUGCUGGAAGGAGCUGCGCUGCAAAAGGAACAGGGAAGGAUGAAACCAGUCAGUAGCAUUUUCAGGUAGCUGUUCAGUGAGGAUGGGAGGAAGAGUGGAUCUGCAAGGAUGUGAAUAGAAAUGACAGCAGAAACCUAUGAGACCAGUCUGCAAUUCAUGUUUGGAUACUCUUCUGAGUAAUGACUCUCUGUGUAGGAGGAAAGGAAGAUAGGGCACAACAGAGCUGAUAGAUCCCUAAAUUGACUAGUUGGUAUGACAGCUGCUCAUGAUGCCUGGCAGAUCUGUAUGUACCAGCAAUGGACUAGUCAUGGAGUAUAUACUUCACUAUAUAUUACAAUUUUGAAUACCUCUGUGAGACAUUAUUUUUGUUAUUUCUUUUAUGGACCUCUUGCAUCUCAAUGGCCUGGAAAAAUAAAAAGUCUUCUCCACUCGCAAUGGGAGGAAUGGGUGAAUGAUGAAGACACCAUGCAGUCCAGACCAUUUUUCCAAAGAAAAUG